GACGGGGGAUGCAAGUGUUAUCCGGAAUCACUGGGCGUAAAGCGUCUGCAGGUGGUUUCCUAAGUCCACUGUUAAACCUUGAGGCUCAACCUCAAAUCUGCAUUGGAAACUAGGAGACUUGAGUAUAGUAGGGGUAGAGGGAAUUUCCAGUGGAGCGGUGAAAUGCGUAGAUAUUGGAAAGAACACCGAUGGCGAAGGCACUCUACUGGGCUAUUACUGACACUCAGAGACGAAAGCUAGUGGAGCAAAUGGG
rnacentral:rRNA from 1 species